GUCAGGAUGGCCGAGCGGUCGAAGGCGCCAGACUCAAGUUCUGGUCUCCGCAUGGAGGCGUGGGUUCGAAUCCCACUCCUGACA
rnacentral:tRNA from 1 species